rnacentral:siRNA from 1 species
GUAUUAUGGAGCUUUUAUUGACAC